GACCUCCUGUCGCCUCACCAACCCACGAUACAAUCACCCCCGACCCUGUCGCCCCCUUCUCUCCCGAGAAGCCGAGUCCCGAUCGCAUCUGUGUCAACCAUCGCCGCAUGUGCUCCCCAUCCCGCUCUAAACUCCUCGUGAUCCACUCCUUUGUGCUGCCUGGAUCCAGCGUAGGGGAUGUCUUCCAGUUUCAUCCCAUCCAAGGGAGAAAUAUAAGAGGGAGAGAGGAUGGAGCACAGCGGCGGUGCCGGCCUAAGCGCCGCUCGAGCGCCGGUCGCCGCUUCUACUUCCAAGCGAGGCACCGAUCUACCAUGCCCGGGUGACGCGAUGACGCCAGCCCAACCCGAUCCGAUGGCCCCCUCUCCGCCAUCUCCGUCGGGGAACAACACGUAGUUCGCACAUCAAGCAGGACGGUGGCGGCAUGGCUCCGGGAGGCGGGGAACGGCGUGGAAACAAUGGACGACGAGGCGAGGCGGAUCAGAUCAGGAUCGAGCGCAGUGGUGCGUAGUGGAGGGUGCCGGCGACGGUGCUCCACGGCCAUGGCGGCUCGGCCUCCUGGGAAUAAGAAACGAGGGAGAGAGGGGGUGAGAUGGAGAGAAGAGAAGCAGAGGAGGGCGACACAGAUUCCUUCUUCUGGUCCGGCGGCAGCUCCCGUCGGCUGAUCCAGGACGGCGGCGGCAUGGCUCUCGGAGGCGGGGAACGGCGUGGAAACAGCGGACGAUGAGGCGAAGCAGAUCAGGGUCGAGCGCGGCGGUCUUAGCCGCAGUUUGAUGACCAUCAUGCACUUCCCCGGCUAAUCCAUGUACCACUUGCUUUAUCUGUACUAUUAAAGGGGUAUCGAACAUCGUGAUGGGUCGACCUCCUCCCGUUCUGACGAAUUAUUCAUCCUGUUACAAGGGCAUAACCCACUCGGUAAACAAGAGAAUCAAGAAGGAAGAACUUUUGUGCUGGUAUCGAAUGUCGUGAUGGUCGACCUCCUCACGUUCUGAUGAAUUAUUCAUCCUGUUACAAGGGUAUAACCCACUGGGUAAAGAAGAGAAUCAAGAAGGAAGAAUUUGUGUGCUCUCUCUGUGAGGAAUGGAAGCUAGGUUAUGAGACAAAUCACCGGUGCUUGGCAAAAGAUAAGAUGAUUCCCAGCAAGUGAUCGACAACCUUCUUUGACCGAUCAUUUUCUUUAUUAUCAUCAUGCAACUGAAAGACUGAAAUUGCAGUGGCAUGCAUACUGUCGUUUUGUUAGUAGUGCAGAAGGCAAGAAACAAAUGCACCCAGAGAAUGUUUGACAAUGGUUGGUGCUCCCUGUUUUUUUCUCUUGUUGAUUGGUGCUCUUUUCAAAUCCACUCCAAAUUGUUGAUUAAUUUUUGGGAUGUUAGUUAAUGUGUAGCUCCUGCCAUUGUUCUCUUUAUGUUUGAUGAAGAAUGUGGUUGUCCUUUGGCUGACAACAUUUCACUUCAGAUUCAAAAGACAGAUUAUGUAUAUUUGAGUUUUGGCUAAAUUUCAGACAAUAGUAGUAUGAUGGUAA